GGAGUCUGGUCCGUGUCUCAGUACCAGUGUGGGGGACCUUCCUCUCAGAACCCCUACUGAUCGUCGCCUUGGUGGGCCGUUACCCCGCCAACAAGCUAAUCAGACGCAUCCCCAUCCCAUACCGACGAGUCUUUGUUCCUCAUAAGAUGCCCAACAAGGAAAACAUAGAGUAUUAAUCCGACUUUCGCCGGGCUAUCCUCUACUAUAGGGAAGGUUGGAUACGCGUUACUCACCCGUGCGCCGGUCGCCAUCAAUCUUAGCAAGCUAAGAUCAUGCUGCCCCUCGACUUGCAUGUGUUAAGCCUGUAGCUAGCGUUCAUC
rnacentral:rRNA from 1 species